rnacentral:rRNA from 1 species
UUUAUAGCCUCUGGCUAUAGGAAAUUGUUAGUGGCAGACGGGUGAGUAAUGCGUAGGAAUCUACCUAGUAGUACGGAAUAGCCAUUAGAAAUGGUGGGUAAUACUGUAUAAUCCCCGAGGGGGAAAGAUUUAUCGCUAUUAGAUGAGCCUACGUUAGAUUAGCUAGUUGGUGAGGUAAUGGCUUACCAAGGCUAUGAUCUAUAGCUGGUCUGAGAGGACGAUCAGCCACACUGGAACUGAGAUACGGUCCAGACUCCUACGGGAGGCAGCAGUGGGGAUAUUGGACGAUGGGCGAAAGCCUGAUCCAGCUAUGCCGCGUGAGUGAAGAAGGCCUUCGGGUUGUAAAACUCUUUCAAUAGGGAAGAUAAUGACGGUACCUAUAGAAGAAGUCCCGGCAAACUCUGUGCCAGCAGCCGCGGUAAUACGGAGGGGGCAAGAGUUGUUCGGAAUUAUUGGGCGUAAAGGGCACGUAGGUGGACUAGUAAGUUAAAAGUG